rnacentral:rRNA from 1 species
AACGAACGCUGGCGGCAUGCCUAACACAUGCAAGUCGAACGAAGCCUUCGGGCUUAGUGGCGCACGGGUGCGUAACACGUGGGAAUCUGCCCUUCGGUUCGGAAUAACAGUUGGAAAUGACUGCUAAUACCGGAUGAUGACGUAAGUCCAAAGAUUUAUCGCCGAAGGAUGAGCCCGCGUAGGAUUAGGUAGUUGGUAGGGUAAUGGCCUACCAAGCCGACGAUCCUUAGCUGGUCUGAGAGGAUGAUCAGCCACACUGGGACUGAGACACGGCCCAGACUCCUACGGGAGGCAGCAGUGGGGAAUAUUGGACAAUGGGCGAAAGCCUGAUCCAGCAAUGCCGCGUGAGUGAUGAAGGCCUUAGGGUUGUAAAGCUCUCUUACCAGGGAUGAUAAUGACAGUACCUGGAGAAUAAGCUCCGGCUAACUCCGUG